UCUUCCGCAAUGGACGAAAGUCUGACGGAGCAACGCCGCGUGAGUGAUGAAGGUCUUCGGAUCGUAAAACUCUGUUGUUAGGGAAGAACAAGUACCGUUCGAAUAGGGCGGCAGCUUGACGGUGCCUAACCAGAAAGCCACGGCUAUCUACGUCCCAGCAUCCGCGGUAAUACGUAGGUGGCAAGCGUUGUCCGGAAUUAUUGGGCGUAAAGCGCGCGCGGGCGGUUUCUUAAGUCUGAUGUGAAAGCCCCCGGCUCAACCGGGGAGGGUCAUUGGAAACUGGGGAACUUGAGAGCAGAAGAGGAGAGUGGAAUUCCACGUGUAGCGGUGAAAUGCGUAGAGAUGUGGAGGAACACCAGUGGCGAAGGCGACUCUCUGGUCUGUAACUGACGCUGAGGCGCGAAAGCGUGGGGAGCGAACAGG
rnacentral:rRNA from 1 species